rnacentral:sRNA from 2 species
UGCCCAAUUGUGUGCCGUUUCCCUUUGACAAGCGACAGGUUGAUGUCGGGUUGGGUUCAGUCGUUUAUUUUUGUGGAUGCUUGUAAUGCGAGCUGUCCGCUGUAAAAUAUUAGAAGCGCAUGUAUUUGAUUGGCAUUACUUUACAGCGAAGUUACCAAAGCGCCGCCCUCAAAAUAUUUUUGGAGGCUUGCAGUGUGGAUGAUGCAUGUCAUCACGCUUUUGAAAUAAACUAAACCGACUUCGGAUGGCGGUUCUGUCGGCCUGAAUCUAUGUUUCUAUGAGCUGUUGCGCCCGAAUGCAUCAUCAUCAUCAUUAUUAUUUUUGAUU